UACGUAGGUGGCGAGCGUUGUCCGGAUUUACUGGGCGUAAAGAGCGCGCAGGCGGUCGUACAAGUCGCGUGUGAAAGCCCCCGGCUCAACUGGGGAGGGUCACGCGAUACUGUUCGACUCGAAGGCAGGAGAGGGAAGUGGAAUUCCCGGUGUAGUGGUGAAAUGCGUAGAUAUCUGGAGGAACACCGGUGGCGAAGGCGGCAUUCUGGACCGAUAUUGACGCUGAGGAGCGAAAGCCAGGGGAGCAAACGGG
rnacentral:rRNA from 1 species